rnacentral:rRNA from 1 species
CACGUAGGGGGCAAGCGUUGUCCGGAUUCAUUGGGCGUAAAGAGCUCGUAGGCGGUUCGAUAAGUCGGGUGUGAAACCUCCAGGCUCAACCUGGAGACGCCACCCGAUACUGUCGUGACUAGAGUCCAGUAGGGGAGCGUGGAAUUCCUGGUGUAGCGGUGAAAUGCGCAGAUAUCAGGAGGAACACCAGCGGCGAAGGC